rnacentral:rRNA from 1 species
UACGUAGGGCGCAAGCGUUGUCCGGAGUUAUUGGGCGUAAAGAGCUCGUAGGCGGUUUGUCGCGUCUGCUGUGAAAACCUAAGGCUCAACCUUGGGCUUGCAGUGGGUACGGGCAGACUAGAGUGUGGUAGGGGAGACUGGAAUUCCUGGUGUAGCGGUGAAAUGCGCAGAUAUCAGGAGGAACACCGAUGGCGAAGGCAGGUCUCUGGGCCACUACUGACGCUGGAGAAGCAGAAAGCAUGGGGAGCGAACAGG